UACGUAGGUGGCAAGCGUUGUCCGGAUUUACUGGGCGUAAAGGGCGUGCAGGCGGUCUGUUAAGUUCAGGGUGAAAGCUCCCGGCUCAACUGGGAGAGGUCCUUGGAUACUGGCAGACUUGAGGGAGGUAGAGGAGAGUGGAAUUCCCGGUGUAGUGGUGAUAUGCGUAGAUAUCGGGAGGAACACCAGUGGCGAAGGCGGCUCUCUGGGCCUUUCCUGGACGCUGAGACGCGAAAGCGUGGGGAGCGAACCGG
rnacentral:rRNA from 1 species